CACGUAGGGCGCAAGCGUUGUCCGGAAUUAUUGGGCGUAAAGAGCUCGUAGGCGGUCUGUUGCGUCUGCUGUGAAAACCCGGGGCUUAACCCCGGGCGUGCAGUGGAUACGGGCUGGCUGGAGGCAGGCAGGGGAGAAUGGAAUUCCCGGUGUAGCGGUGAAAUGCGCAGAUAUCGGGAGGAACACCCGUGGCGAAGGCGGUUCUCUGGGACGGUACUGACGCUGAGACGCGAAAGCGUGGGGAGCGAACAGG
rnacentral:rRNA from 1 species